AACGCAUUCAUUACCGCUUAGUCAACUUCCUAUCUACCAGUUGAAGCCUUGUGAUCCUCUGAAAGUAGUGAAAUUUGUAGCUUCACUUCGACACUUACAUUUAUCCGAAUCCCGUCAAAUCUCCAUCACACUUUCCUUCAAGCUUUCACGUCGCUCACAUUUCACAUUCACAGUCACAGCCUCUGCUUCUACCGGCAAAGGGAAAAUGGCUUUCUUUUUCGGCCUCUUGCUCGGAAUAGUUGUGGGACUUGCCGUGAUUGUAGGGUUCGUCAAGUGCGAGAAUGUGCGGUCCCUGCGCCGGUCUGAGCUGGCAGCGACGGUUGCCACUUUUGCGAGGAUGACGGUGGAAGAUUCCAGAAAGAUCUUACCUCCUCAGUACUACCCUUCUUGGGUCGUCUUCUCUCAGAGGCAGAAGGUAACUUGGCUUAACAAUCAUCUUACAAAGAUCUGGCCCUAUGUUAACGAGGCUGCCUCUGAGCUAAUAAAGACAUCGGUGGAACCCGUUCUUGAACAAUAUAGACCCAUUAUUUUGGCGUCGCUGAAAUUUUCCAAGCUCACUCUUGGUACUGUAGCACCCCAGUUUACAGGGUUCUCUAUAAUUGAGGAUGGAGGGAGUGGUGUUACAAUGGAAAUGGAAAUGCAGUGGGAUGGGAAUCCAAGUAUUAUACUUGAUAUUAAGACUCUAGUUGGUGUUUCACUUCCAGUGCAGGUGAAGAAUAUUGGAUUUACAGGCAUUUUCAGAUUGAUUUUUAAGCCACUAGUUGAUGAAUUUCCUGGCUUUGGAGCUGUUUGUUUCUCUUUAAGGCAGAAGAAAAAUUUGGAUUUUACCCUAAAAGUUGUUGGCGGUGACAUAUCAACAAUCCCUGGAUUAUAUGAAGCAAUUGAGGGGACAAUUCGGGAUGCUGUUGAAGAUUCUAUCACAUGGCCUGUGAGAAAAGUUAUACCUAUCUUGCCUGGAGAUUACAGUGAUCUAGAGUUAAAGCCUAUGGGAGUAUUAGGAGUGAAGCUUGUGCAGGCGAAGGAGCUGACAAACAAGGAUAUAAUUGGUAAAUCAGAUCCAUAUGCUGAACUAUAUAUUCGUCCUUUACGUGACAGAAUAAAAACUAGCAAGACAAUAAACAAUGACUUGAAUCCUAUUUGGAAUGAACACUUCGAAUUUAUUGUAGAAGAUGCAUACACUCAGCACUUAGUAGUUAAAAUUUUUGAUGCUGAGGGUUUACAGUCAGCUGAUUUGAUUGGAUGUGCUCGUAUAGAUCUUUGUGAACUUCAGCCUGGUAAAGUUAAAGAUGUGUGGUUGAACCUGGUGAAGGAUUUGGAGAUCCAGAGAGAUAACAAGAACAGGGGGCAGGUACAUCUAGAACUUCUGUACUAUCCUUUCGGCACGGAGAAUGGAUUUUCCAAUCCUUUUGCUCCCGAAUAUAUGACAUCGUUGGAAAAGGUUCUUAAAAGUUCAGCGAAGGGAGUAGAAGCUCCUGAUGAUGAAAAUACUAUUGCACAAAAGAGAAAGGAGGUUAUUGUUAGAGGCGUCCUUUCUGUUACUGUAAUAUCUGCUGAAGACUUGCCUCCAGCAGAUCUGAUGAGGGGAAAAGCUGAUCCUUAUAUUGUUCUUACCAUGAAGAAAACAGAAAAUAAAAACAAAACCAGGGUUGUUAAUGACAACUUGAAUCCUGUUUGGAACCAAACAUUUGACUUCGUUGUUGAGGAUGGAUUACAUGAUAUGCUCAUUGUUGAAGUUUGGGACCACGACACAUUUGGAAAGGAUUACAUGGGCAGAUGCAUAAUGACGCUUACUAGGGUCAUACUGGAAGGGGAAGUGAAAGAUCGUUUUAAGUUAGAGGCUGCAAAAUCUGGCUACUUGAAUUUGCAUCUCAAGUGGCUACCACAACCAAUUUAUCGUGAUCAUUGAGUGUCUCUUUUAUCCUAGACACCUGAUAAAUCAGCCAUAUAAUUGUGCAUGUUAGAAGGUAACAAAGGAUCUGAGCUCGUGAACAAAGGAUCGUGGAUUGAGUAUUUCUCACUUUCCAAAGGCUGAAGAUCACUCCCUCUCUCCCCCUGAAUUGAGGCAUUUGGAUAAAAAGGUUCAUUUUCAGCAAAGGUAACGUCCCGGCUGAUGUAAAGUCGUUUGGUAGUUGGGUCAAAACAUUUAUACCCCUUUUGUGUGGAAGAAGAGUAACCAAGAAAGAGACAUUUGACAGCUUUGGGUUCCAAUUUAUGGGAAUGAUGAGAAUGAACAUAGGUGGUACAGCCAAAGAUUUUGAGGGGAAGAUUAGUGGUGAGGUGAGUGACAGAGUGACAUUCUUGUAAUUUUUCAAGCGGUGAAAUAUAAGAGAGAACACGACUUGGCAUGCGGUUGAUUAAGUAUGUAGCUGUGAGAAUUGCAUCACCCCAAAAGAAUUUAGGAACAUUGUAGGUAAAGAGUAAAGCACGUGCAACUUCUAACAGGUGUUUGUUUUUCCUUUCCGCAAUGCCAUUUUGUUGAGGGGUAUUCGGACAAGUGCUUUUAUGAAUAAUUCCAUGUUCUGUUAGAAACAUAUGCAUGGUGUUAUUGAAGUAUUCAGUUCCAUUAUCAGUAUGAAGCACUUGAAUUGUGGUGUCAAAUUGGUUUUUUAUCAUUGUAUAAAACUCAGAGAACACAUAGGGAACAGAGGAUUUAUCUUGCAAUAAGUAAACCCAACACAUCCUAGUAUGAUCAUCAAUAAAUGUGAUGAACCACUUUGUAUUAGUUCGAUUAGUGACACGAGUAGGACCCCACAAAUCACUAUGAAUGAUAGAAAAAGGACGAGUAGAUUUGUACUCAAUAGGUUUGAAAACGGAUCUGUGAUGUUUAGCGAGCUCACAAUCAGUACAAUAAAAUGGAGUGUUUUUAUUGACUUGAAAUUCUGGAAACAGACGACAUAAAUAUUGAAAAUUUGGGUGACCUAGUCUCCUAUGCCAUAACAUAAGAUCUUUAAAGUCUUUAUUUUCAUAGGUAGAUGCGACAUUGCAUUGAAUUCGAGACCAAAGACUACUCACGGUUGAUUCGUCAAGGUAGUAAAGACCAUUAUGCACCUUAGCACUCCCAAUCAUCUUCCCCGAUGAGAGAUCCUGAAAAAUACAAUGAGUGGAACAAAAGUGAGCCCAACAAUUAGCCUGUUUAGUUAAUUUACUAAUGGACAGCAAAUUACAGGCCAAAUAUGGUACAUGUAGAACAUGUUCUAAUUUCAUAGCUUCAGAGAUAACAACACUGCCUGUUCCUGCUAUCGACGAAGAUGACCCAUUUGCUGUACUUACUGUCUCAUUUCCAGCACUAAGGACAUAGGUACUAAAUAGCUUAGAGUCUGAAGUCAUAUGAUCAGUUGCCCCUGUAUCCACAAUCCAUUUGAAGUUACUAGUAGAGGUAAGCAAGGCACAGUUACCUUUAUGAGCCAUUGACACAGUGUGAUUCGGUUUCUGAUUUUUCUCAUUCUUCUGAAGCAUACUGAGCAUCUCGAGUAACUUACCGAGCUGUUCCUUAUCAAUCUCUGGUGUUGAUGAAGUUGAAUCUAUUUUAUCUGGUGGCACAUCAUGAGAAGCGUGGUAUCCUCGUGUUUUUCCUUUUCUUGGCUUCCAAUCAGUCGGUUUUCCAUGGAUAUCCCAGCAAGUGUCACGGGUAUGCCCAAUCUUCUUGCAAUGUUCACAAGAAACCUUCCCUUUCUGAUUCUUUUGGUUUGCGUCACUGCUCUUACUUACAAGAGCAGCAGAGUCUAGAGUAGGUACUGGAGUAGGGGUAGUGCCAGGAAGCAUGACCUUGCGUCUCGAGGCUUCACGACGUACCUCAGAAAAAACUUCCCUGGUUGAUGGGAGUGGUGCACGACUCAAGACUCGUCCUCGUACAUCAUCCAGGGACUGAUUUAAUCCAGCAAGAAACUGAAAUACACGCUCAUUUUCAACUUUCUCCUUAUACCGAAUUGCAUCACUACUGCUAGACCAUUCCACAUCUGUCAUUAAGUCUAGUUCCUGCCAUAUAGCAUUCAGUUCUAACCAGAAGGCAGUGACAUCACGUUCUCCUUGUUGCAGUGUCCAUGCCUUUGUUUUGAGCUCAUAUAUCUGAGCUAAGUCCUUCCCAUCAGAGUAUGAAUCUCGUAUUGCCUUCCAGAUUUCAUGGGCUGAGGGGAGAAACAUAAAGCUUUGUUGAAUUUCUGGAAUCAUGGCAUUUAUUAACCAUGAUGAUAUCAGUGAAUUUUCGGUGUGCCAUUGCUGGAACUCUUGCGUCUUGGGGUCUUCUGGGAUCUUUGAUGAGCCAUCAAGAUAGCCCAUUUUUCCUUGGCCUCCGAUCGCGAGUUUCAUAGCUUGUGCCCACAUACGGUAGUUUGUACCGUUUAGUUUCACUGAUAUAACGUGUACCGAUGAUCCUUCGUGGCUGGUAGUCGACCCGAAGGGACCACCUGCCCUGCUCGGAUCAGUCUUCGAGGACCUAUCACUGUUCGACAUGGGAGAACUGUGAACUGGGUUCGACUCGUGCUCGGUACUUUCUGUCUCAGAGUUCUCGGCGUCGAACAGCACUGGGAAGUCACGGAGCUCUGAUACCAUGUAGUGAAUGAGCCGAGAAACUCUUGUAUAUACAUCUAAGGUAUGCACGAGAAUAUAUACAGGAGAGAAAACAAUCAUAUCUCCGAGAAUAAUGGAGAUUGAUUCAGGGGAGGAGAAAAAGGAAAUAAUCUCGUAAAAAACUUCCUACUCUUAACUACCCGGUAUCCCACAAAAUAAUAACAUAUAUUUACAUUGAAUAUAAUAAAUACUAGGUCUAACCACAAAUUUGCUUGAACUCUGCAGCAACAAUGGAGAACAAAUCUUCAAGUAUAAUGACAUUUACAUAUUUCAAAGUAAUGCUUUUUAGUUUUAUCCCGUUAUUGUUUUUUGUAGCCCUACUUCCUAUGUUGAGAUGUAGACCAAUACUAGGCUGCCACAUGGCAUACCUUGUACCUUGUACUCAUAGAGCAAGUGCAAUAAGCCAAUCAUGUACAUAAUUGUUUUAUUAUAUGAUAUCACACAUGAUGAAGAUAGAAGAUUGUUAUUGAAUGCCCUUUUUUGUUGAUUGCUGUCUAA